rnacentral:rRNA from 1 species
AUUGAACGCUGGCGGCAUGCUUUACACAUGCAAGUCGAACGGCAGCGCGGGGCAACCUGGCGGCGAGUGGCGAACGGGUGAGUAAUAUAUCGGAACGUACCCAAGAGUGGGGGAUAACGUAGCGAAAGUUACGCUAAUACCGCAUACGAUCUUAGGAUGAAAGCAGGGGACCGCAAGGCCUUGUGCUCCUGGAGCGGCCGAUAUCUGAUUAGCUAGUUGGUGAGGUAAAGGCUCAACAAGGCGACGAUCAGUAGCUGGUCUGAGAGGACGACCAGCCACACUGGGACUGAGACACGGCCCAGACUCCGACGGGAGGCAGCAGUGGGGAAUUUUGGACAAUGGGCGCAAGCCUGAUCCAGCAAUGCCGCGUGAGUGGAGAAGGCCUUCGGGUUGUAAAGCUCUUUUGUCAGGGAAGAAACGGCUGAGGAUAAUACCUUCGGCUAAUGACGGUACCUGAAGAAUAAGCACCGGCUAACUACGUGCCAGCCGCCGCGGUAA